rnacentral:rRNA from 1 species
GACGAACGCUGGCGGCGUGCUUAACACAUGCCAGUCGAACGGAAACUCCCUGCUUUGGUGCGGUGCUCGAGUGGCGAACGGGUGAGUAACCCGUGAGUCACCUGCCCUUGACUUGGGGAUAACUUCAGGAAACUGGGGCUAAUAACGGAUAGGUGCUCCUGCAGCAUGGGGGGGGUUGGAAAGUGUCGGUGGAUGGGGAUGAACCCGCGGCUUAUCAGCGUGUGGGUGGGGUAGUGGCUUACCAAGGCGUUGACGGGUAGGCGGCCUGGGAGGGUGACCGGCCACAGUGGUACUGCGAUAGGACCCCGACUCCUAGGGGAGGCAGCAGUGGGAGUUAGUGGACAAUGAGCGGAAGCCUGAUGCGGAAACGCCGCGUGCGGGAUGAGGGCCAUCGGAUUGUAAACCGCUUUCGCCUGUGACGAAGCGUGAGUGACGGUAAUGGGUAAAGAAGCACCGGCUAACUACGUG